rnacentral:rRNA from 1 species
UGCUGGAGGUAUCAGAAGUGCGAAUGCUGACAUAAGUAACGAUAAACAAGGUGAAAAACCUUGUCGCCGGAAGACCAAGGGUUCCUGUUCAACGUUAAUCGGAGCAGGGUGAGUCGACCCCUAAGGCGAGGCCGAAAGGCGUAGUCGAUGGGAAACAGGUUAAUAUUCCUGUACUUGGUGUUACUGCGAAGGGGGGACGGAGAAGGCUAUAUCGGCCGGGCGACGGUUGUCCCGGUUUAAGCGUGUAGGUGUGUGUUCCAGGCAAAUCCGGUUCACUUUACACUGAGGCGUGACGACGAGGCACUACGGUGCUGAAGUGAUAAAUGCCCUGCUUCCAGGAAAAGCCUCUAAGCAUCAGGUAACACAAAAUCGUACCCCAAACCGACACAGGUGGUCAGGUAGAGAAUACCAAGGCGCUUGAGAGAACUCGGGUGAAGGAACUAGGCAAAAUGGUGCCGUAACUUCGGGAGAAGGCACGCUGGCGGUAGGUGAAGGGACUUGCUCCCGGAGCUGAAGCCAGUCGAAGAUACCAGCUGGCUGCAACUGUUUAUUAAAAACACAGCACUGUGCAAACACGAAAGUGGACGUAUACGGUGUGACGCCUGCCCGGUGCCGGAAGGUUAAUUGAUGGGGUUAUCCGCAAGGAGAAGCUCUUGAUCGAAGCCCCGGUAAACGGCGGCCGUAACUAUAACGGUCCUAAGGUAGCGAAAUUCCUUGUCGGGUAAGUUCCGACCUGCACGAAUGGCGUAAUGAUGGCCAGGCUGUCUCCACCCGAGACUCAGUGAAAUUGAAAUCGCUGUGAAGAUGCAGUGUACCCGCGGCAAGACGGAAAGACCCCGUGAACCUUUACUACAGCUUGACACUGAACACUGAGCCUUGAUGUGUAGGAUAGGUGGGAGGCUUUGAAGCGUGGACGCCAGUCUGCGUGGAGCCGGCCUUGAAAUACCACCCUUUAAUGUUUGGUGUUCUAACGUAGGCCCGUAAUCCGGGCUGCGGACAGUGUCUGGUGGGUAGUUUGACUGGGGCGGUCUCCUCCCAAAGCGUAACGGAGGAGCACGAAGGUUGGCUAAUCCUGGUCGGACAUCAGGAGGUUAGUGCAAUGGCAUAAGCCAGCUUGACUGCGAGAGUGACGGCUCGAGCAGGUGCGAAAGCAGGUCAUAGUGAUCCGGUGGUUCUGAAUGGAAGGGCCAUCGCUCAACGGAUAAAAGGUACUCCGGGGAUAACAGGCUGAUACCGCCCAAGAGUUCAUAUCGACGGCGGUGUUUGGCACCUCGAUGUCGGCUCAUCACAUCCUGGGGCUGAAGUAGGUCCCAAGGGUACGGCUGUUCGCCGUUUAAAGUGGUACGCGAGCUGGGUUUAGAACGUCGUGAGACAGUUCGGUCCCUAUCUGCCGUGGGCGCUGGAGAAUUGAGGGGGGUUGCUCCUAGUACGAGAGGACCGGAGUGAACGCACCGCUGGUGUCCGGGUUGUCACGCCAGUGGCACUGCCCGGUAGCUAAGUGCGGAAAAGAUAAGUGCUGAAAGCAUCUAAGCACGAAACUUGCCCCGAGAUGAGUUCUCCCUGAGCCUUUAAGGCUCCUGAAGGGACGUUGAAGACGACGACGUUGAUAGGCCGGGUGUGUAAGCGCAGCGAUGCGUUGAGCUUACCGGUACUAAUGACCCGUGAGGCUUAACCUUACAACGCCAGAGGCGUUUUG